rnacentral:rRNA from 1 species
GGUCAAGUGAAGAAGCGCAUACGGUGGAUGCCUUGGCAGUCAGAGGCGAUGAAAGACGUGGUAGCCUGCGAAAAGCUUCGGGGAGUCGGCAAACAGACUGUGAUCCGGAGAUGUCUGAAUGGGGGAACCCAGCCAUCACAAGAUGGUUAUCUUACACUGAAUACAUAGGUGUAAGAGGCGAACCAGGGGAACUGAAACAUCUAAGUACCCUGAGGAAAAGAAAUCAACCGAGAUUCCCUUAGUAGUGGCGAGCGAACGGGGACCAGCCCUUAAGUUGUAUUGAGAUUAGCGGAACGCUCUGGAAAGUGCGGCCAUAGUGGGUGAUAGCCCUGUACGCGAAAAUCCCUUUGCAAUGAAAUCGAGUAGGACGGGGCACGAGAAACCUUGUCUGAAUAUGGGGGGACCAUCCUCCAAGGCUAAAUACUACUGACUGACCGAUAGUGAACCAGUACCGUGAGGGAAAGGCGAAAAGAACCGCGGAGAGCGGAGUGAAAUAGAUCCUGAAACCGUAUGCGUACAAGCAGUGGGAGCCCACUUUGUUGGGUGACUGCGUACCUUUUGUAUAAUGGGUCAGCGACUUAUUUUCAGUGGCGAGCUUAACCGAAUAGGGGAGGCGUAGCGAAAGCGAGUCUUAAUAGGGCGUCUAGUCGCUGGGAAUAGACCCGAAACCGGGCGAUCUAUCCAUGGGCAGGUUGAAGGUUGGGUAACACUAACUGGAGGACCGAACCGACUACCGUUGAAAAGUUAGCGGAUGACCUGUGGAUCGGAGUGAAAGGCUAAUCAAGCUCGGAGAUAGCUGGUUCUCCUCGAAAGCUAUUUAGGUAGCGCCUCAUGUAUCACUGUAGGGGGUAGAGCACUGUUUCGGCUAGGGGGUCAUCCCGACUUACCAAACCGAUGCAAACUCCGAAUACCUACAAGUGCCGAGCAUGGGAGACACACGGCGGGUCAUCCCGACUUACCAAACCGAUGCAAACUCCGAAUACCUACAAGUGCCGAGCAUGGGAGACACACGGCGGGUGCUAACGUCCGUCGUGAAAAGGGAAACAACCCAGACCGUCAGCUAAGGUCCCAAAGUCAUGGUUAAGUGGGAAACGAUGUGGGAAGGCUUAGACAGCUAGGAGGUUGGCUUAGAAGCAGCCACCCUUUAAAGAAAGCGUAAUAGCUCACUAGUCGAGUCGGCCUGCGCGGAAGAUGUAACGGGGCUCAAACCAUGCACCGAAGCUACGGGUAUCACCUUUGGUGAUGCGGUAGAGGAGCGUUCUGUAAGCCUGUGAAGGUGAGUUGAGAAGCUUGCUGGAGGUAUCAGAAGUGCGAAUGCUGACAUGAGUAACGACAAUGGGUGUGAAAAACACCCACGCCGAAAGACCAAGGUUUCCUGCGCAACGUUAAUCGACGCAGGGUUAGUCGGUCCCUAAGGCGAGGCUGAAAAGCGUAGUCGAUGGAAAACAGGUUAAUAUUCCUGUACUUCUGGUUAUUGCGAUGGAGGGACGGAGAAGGCUAGGCCAGCCUGGCGUUGGUAGUCCAGGUUUAAGGUGGUAGGCUGAGAUCUUAGGUAAAUCCGGGAUCUUAAGGCCGAGAGCUGAUGACGAGUGUUCUUUUAGAACAUGAAGUGGUUGAUGCCAUGCUUCCAAGAAAAGCUUCUAAGCUUCAGGUAACCAGGAACCGUACCCCAAACCGACACAGGUGGUUGGGUAGAGAAUACCAAGGCGCUUGAGAGAACUCGGGUGAAGGAACUAGGCAAAAUGGCACCGUAACUUCGGGAGAAGGUGCGCCGGUGAGUACGCCGGUCGAAGAUACCAGGCCGCUGCGACUGUUUAUUAAAAACACAGCACUCUGCAAACACGAAAGUGGACGUAUAGGGUGUGACGCCUGCCCGGUGCCGGAAGGUUAAUUGAUGGGGUUAGCGCAAGCAAAGCUCUUGAUCGAAGCCCCGGUAAACGGCGGCCGUAACUAUAACGGUCCUAAGGUAGCGAAAUUCCUUGUCGGGUAAGUUCCGACCUGCACGAAUGGCGUAACGAUGGCGGCGCUGUCUCCACCCGAGACUCAGUGAAAUUGAAAUCGCUGUGAAGAUGCAGUGUAUCCGCGGCUAGACGGAAAGACCCCGUGAACCUUUACUAUAGCUUUGCACUGGACUUUGAAUUUGCUUGUGUAGGAUAGGUGGGAGGCUUUGAAGCGUGGACGCCAGUCUGCGUGGAGCCAACCUUGAAAUACCACCCUGGCAACUUUGAGGUUCUAACUCAGGUCCGUUAUCCGGAUCGAGGACAGUGUAUGGUGGGUAGUUUGACUGGGGCGGUCUCCUCCUAAAGAGUAACGGAGGAGUACGAAGGUGCGCUCAGACCGGUCGGAAAUCGGUCGUAGAGUAUAAAGGCAAAAGCGCGCUUGACUGCGAGACAGACACGUCGAGCAGGUACGAAAGUAGGUCUUAGUGAUCCGGUGGUUCUGUAUGGAAGGGCCAUCGCUCAACGGAUAAAAGGUACUCCGGGGAUAACAGGCUGAUACCGCCCAAGAGUUCAUAUCGACGGCGGUGUUUGGCACCUCGAUGUCGGCUCAUCACAUCCUGGGGCUGAAGCCGGUCCCAAGGGUAUGGCUGUUCGCCAUUUAAAGUGGUACGCGAGCUGGGUUUAGAACGUCGUGAGACAGUUCGGUCCCUAUCUGCCGUGGACGUUUGAGAUUUGAGAGGGGCUGCUCCUAGUACGAGAGGACCGGAGUGGACGAACCUCUGGUGUUCCGGUUGUCACGCCAGUGGCAUUGCCGGGUAGCUAUGUUCGGAAAAGAUAACCGCUGAAAGCAUCUAAGCGGGAAACUUGCCUCAAGAUGAGAUCUCACUGGAACCUUGAGUUCCCUGAAGGGCCGUCGAAGACUACGACGUUGAUAGGUUGGGUGUGUAAGCGCUGUGAGGCGUUGAGCUAACCAAUACUAAUUGCCCGUGAGGCUUGACCAUAUAACACCCA